CUACUAGGGUAUCUAAUCCUGUUUGCUCCCCACGCUUUCGCGUCUUAGCGUCAGAAACCGUCCAGAUAGCCGCCUUCGCCACUGGUGUUCUUCCCAAUCUCUACGUAUUUCACCACUACACUGGGAAUUCCACUAUCCUCUCCGGUCCUCUAGUCAUCCAGUCCUGAAUGCAUUUCUUGAGUUAAGCUCAAGGCUUUCACAUCCAACUUGGACAACCGCCUACACGCGCUUUACGCCCAGUAAUUCCGAACAACGCUAGCCCCCUUCGUCUUACCGCGGCUGCUGGCAC
rnacentral:rRNA from 1 species